UUCAUUGCUUUCUUCCUUUUGUCUUUCUUUUAGAGUAUUCUGUAAGAGAAUGAGUGUUGAAAAUCACUUGUGUUAACCCUUUAUUGACUGAUCUUGUAGUUUACUCUUUUGGAUAUUUGUUAAGUAGAAUGUUUACUCUAAUUUUGUACAUUCUAUUAUACUCUUAUACUCUUCUUGUUGGUAUAGUAAAAUUGCUACUCUCCGCUUGUGAAGGUGGGUUACACUAAUCGAACCACAAUCGAUAUCUUCUUUAUUUUUUUUAAUUGUUGUUAUUAUUUUCUUGAAAUUGUGUUUGUUAUUUUCAUUGUACUUGUGUUUGGCUAAAUUUGACAAUAACCAGGUUCUUGAUCCUAACAAAUUGAUAUUAGAGCCAUGUUUAACUAGGUUAUUUCAUUAGCCAAAAAUGUUGGCAACAAAGACUUGUUUGGAGAAAUUUGACCGAAGUGAAAAUUUCUGGAUGUGAAAAUUAAAGAUGGAAGCUAUUCGAAUUUAGGAUGACUUCGAUAUGGCAUUGCAAGAAAAGGAGAUAAAGCCAAAAAAUAUGUCGCACCAAGAGUUUACCGCUAUUGGGAAAAAAGAAAAAAUCAAUUAUCAUUUUAAAAUCUCAAAUGAGGUUUUAAGUGAAGUAUCUGCAGAAACUACUAUCAGAGGCAUAUGAAAAAAAAUCUAUUUAUGAAAAGAACAGUGAAAACUAGAAUUUUUGUAAAUCAAAAGUUUUACAUAUUUU
rnacentral:lncRNA from 1 species